ACUCCCACCCGGCGUCCAGUCCCUGGCGCAGGCGCUGUGCGGCUUUGGUGCGGGGCUUGCCUCACCGGUCUCGGUGGCGGUCUCCACCCUAGCUGGGUCCGACCACGAGCUCCAGGGACCUUGGUAGGUGGGGCCGUUGAGCCUGGCGCGCAGCUGUAAACGGUAGCGAGAUCGCGGGCGCAGCUCCAGGGUCCCUCCUCGGGCCCCGAGAGGCGGCUCCAGCACCUGAGCAAAGAAGCGUGCGGUGGCCCGGCGUCGGGGCUUCGAUAGCCCAGCGUCUGUUUGACCCAAAUCCUGCAGCUCCGAAUCCCCAGGCGGUCGGAGAUUCCCACAAAGAGCCCCACCGGCAGAAAACACGCUUCCCGGCAACAGGAUAGAGCGCCCUAACCGAGAGCCUCUCCCUAAAGGGAUCACGCUCUGCCCGAGAGAAACGCGCCAGGCCCACCUCCUGAGACACAGACCUCACCUCAGAGAGCUACGUAUCCUAACACCAACACCCAGAUUGUGGCUCACUCCCAUGACACCAACCUCAAUCAGCAGUUCAGCUCUCACCUGUCUCUGGGGCAGCACCGUGCCCUGCUGUGGUAGAAGAAGCCUUGGGAGCUAGCAUGGUCCUGUUGCUGCCAUUGACAGUUCCUGUCCAAUGGCAAGUUCGAGAUCAUCAGGAAGGACCAUGGUUCCCAGAGCUUCAGAUCCAGCCCAGGCUUCCCUAGAGAUAUUCUUUUAUCUCCUCCCCAUCUCCCUAUUCCUUUGUUGACUCACCUGCAUCUCCAGGCAGGUCCACAGUCACAGGGAGGGACCAGGAUCCCCAGGAGCCACCGAGGGAGAUCCCAUCAGGUUCGCUGCGCAGCUGUAGCCAGUAGGAGUUGCCAGGCUGGAGUCCUGAGAUGAGGCAGCUUCCACCCACUGCUGUCAGAGCUGAAGCCUUGGGAGGAAAAUCCCAGCUUCACAAUCUAGGCCUGCCUGUCAGCUGAGAGAGCCUCCAACCCUUAUAUUUGCACAGCAUCCCUGUGGAGAGGAGCUCAGCUCCUUGCUGGAUAGAUAUGCACACAGACCAGGGGCCAAGUUGGUGUGUUUCAGGUGGUGUUCAGGGUUUUGUUGCGAAAUCUCCAUUAAUUUGGAGGCCUGAAAGCCUUUGCUUUUGUCAGUGGGAAUGACCCAAAGUAGGAAGCCCCUAAGUAGGCGUGGCUCAUAUCUGAGCCUAUACUAACUCUCCAAGGACGAACCUAGGUCUGGAAUCCCCAAAGUAUGGUCUGUCCUUUCCUGGGGCAAGAUUGAAGGUAGGAGAUAAGAGGUGGGGCAGAAGAAGGUCAGCAUACUUCUCUACUUGGGGAGGUCUGCUUUGGUCCAUCUUGCCAGGGCAUUGUGGGCUGAGCACAUGGAGACUGGUCCAGAGCAGAGGCUGAGUGAGGCCUCUGCAGAGCAGGGCAGCAGGUUUCUGUGGCGAUCAGCUGUAUGACGGUGGGACCAGUGGAGUUCUUGGGAUCUCUGGGGCCAUAGCGGAGUUCGUACCUCAGGAAAUCACUGAUUUCUGGAGCUGGCUCCUCCCAGCUGAUCUGAAGUUCCCCUGGCUGGCUCCCACCCAUGGCCUUGAUGAUACUAGGGGGAGCCGGCAGGCCUGAGGGGCAAGACAGGGCACAUCAGAACUCUGAGUACCACAGUCUAUGGCUCAGCCUCUGGACUGCAGAGAGGGGUGCUGGGGGCUGAAUUGGGGCAGCUUCUGGAUUCAAAAAUUGUAGGCUGUCAUUCUCCUGGAGGGCAGGCUAGGGAGGCUCCUGAUUCUGUUCUUCUCUCAUGAGAACAGUGACUUCAUUGCAGUAUGAUGGCUUGCUAGACUCAGUGCUUCUUGUAAGCAGGGAUGCCUUUUUCUCUCCAUAUCCCCAUCACCUAGCCCAGUGUCUGGCACACAGUAGGUAUUCUGUAACUCUUGAAUGGAUGAAUAAAUGAUUUGUUGACGAUGGGAGGACCAGGGUGUGAAAUGAUCUGUGGGGCAUUUCUAGCUCUAGAUGCCAAGGCUGGGAGGAAUGACAAGGGAGUCUUGGGGUGCCUCAGGGGGUCUGGUAAUAGGGGUAUCCGUGCUGAGCUGGAAGGGCACAGGCAAGUCUGAUUCCGGGAGCUGGACUGGGGGCAGCAAGUGGAGGGGGCAGGGUGACAGGAGGAUGGCUCUUACCUACACUGUCCACAAAGAGGACUCGCUGAGUCCGAGUCUGGUUUAGGAACACAUUCUUCACCCAGAGGUGCAGCGGAAAGAAGAGACGCACUUCCUCCUGGUCUGGAAACUGGCACACAUAUCGGGUUCCAAAGUGGGGCACGCUCUGGGAACUCAGGGGGCAAGCACGGGGCUUCUCCCUGUUGGCAUAGAAGAGGUCCCUCCUACACAGCCACCAUGCGGAGCCCUGAGGACCCAGACCUGGGCCCAUGCCCAACUUCUGUCUCUAGUACUGCCAUUUUUCUUCUCACUGCCUGGGAUAGGUGGGAUUAGGGGUUAUGUAGGGCUGGAGCUGGGGCCCACAUACAUCCAAAGCACAUCUGUUCAAAAAGUAGGUACUUAGGGCUUGUAUUCAGAGUGGUCCUCGGACAGGCAGGAAAGCUGCUGGAGUGGGACUCAGCUAAGUGCAGGGACAGAUACAUGGGGAGUGGGGCACAGUCCAGCACCUACCGCGGGUAGGCAUACAGCAGCUGGUAUGUCCCACUGGGCGCUGCCUCUUCCUCAUCCCAGAAGCAAGUGAGGUCCUCAAAUGUUCGGGAGAAACACUUCAGGGGCUCUGAGUCUGAUGCCAGCAAGGAGACAUCUAAGGAACAGCUGAGAUGAGGAAACGGAGAUGCAGAGAAGUUAAAGAUUUGCCCAAGAUUACAUACUAAGACAUAAAGCUCAGGAGGUCAACCUUCAGAACCCACCUGCAUAACAACCAUGCUGUGCUAUGCUCUUGGGAGGCUAAUCUGCUGAGAAAUAACUCUCUGCCCCACAACCAUGCCAAAUGGUGGGUAUUUCCACUUUAAUAGUUCUGUGACUUUGCACAUGAAUAAACACAUUCUCCCGGGAACUGGAAAUGCCCUCUCCAUUAUGGGUGGCCUCCACGGCUGCCUCUAAUCCCUUGCUACUCAAAAUGUGGUCUGUAGGCCAGGAGCAACAGCAUUAGGUGGGCACUUAUUAGAAAUGCAGAAUCUUAGGCCCCGCCCCAGGCCUAUUAAAGUUGAACCUGCAUUUUGCCAAAAUCCCCAGAUGGUUUGAAUGUAACUUAAAGUUGGAGAAGCAAUGGUCUUCAGUACUUUUAUCCUGUUUGCUCAGAUUGGAGAUGGCUCACACUCCUUACCCUGCCCCCUUGUCUUGUAUCCAAUAAAUAACUGCGCAG